rnacentral:rRNA from 1 species
CUGGAAAGGCGCGCGAUACAGGGUGACAGCCCCGUACACAAAAAUGCACAUAUUGUGAGCUCGAUGAGUAGGGCGGGACACGUGGUAUCCUGUCUGAAUAUGGGGGGACCAUCCUCCAAGGCUAAAUACUCCUGACUGACCGAUAGUGAACCAGUACCGUGAGGGAAAGGCGAAAAGAACCCCGGCGAGGGGAGUGAAAAAGAACCUGAAACCGUGUACGUACAAGCAGUGGGAGCACGCUUAGGCGUGUGACUGCGUACCUUUUGUAUAAUGGGUCAGCGACUUAUAUUCUGUAGCAAGGUUAACCGAAUAGGGGAGCCGAAGGGAAACCGAGUCUUAACUGGGCGUUAAGUUGCAGGGUAUAGACCCGAAACCCGGUGAUCUAGCCAUGGGCAGGUUGAAGGUUGGGUAACACUAACUGGAGGACCGAACCGACUAAUGUUGAAAAAUUAGCGGAUGACUUGUGGCUGGGGGUGAAAGGCCAAUCAAACCGGGAGAUAGCUGGUUCUCCCCGAAAGCUAUUUAGGUAGCGCCUCGUGAAUUCAUCUCCGGGGGUAGAGCACUGUUUCGGCAAGGGGGUCAUCCCGACUUACCAACCCGAUGCAAACUGCGAAUACCGGAGAAUGUUAUCACGGGAGACACACGGCGGGUGCUAACGUCCGUCGUGAAGAGGGAAACAACCCAGACCGCCAGCUAAGGUCCCAAAGUCAUGGUUAAGUGGGAAACGAUGUGGGAAGGCCCAGACAGCCAGGAUGUUGGCUUAGAAGCAGCCAUCAUUUAAAGAAAGCGUAAUAGCUCACUGGUCGAGUCGGCCUGCGCGGAAGAUGUAACGGGGCUAAACCAUGCACCGAAGCUGCGGCAGCGACACUAUGUGUUGUUGGGUAGGGGAGCGUUCUGUAAGCCUGUGAAGGUGUGCUGUGAGGCAUGCUGGAGGUAUCAGAAGUGCGAAUGCUGACAUAAGUAACGAUAAAGCGGGUGAAAAGCCCGCUCGCCGGAAGACCAAGGGUUCCUGUCCAACGUUAAUCGGGGCAGGGUGAGUCGACC